UACGGGAGGCAGCAGUGGGGAAUUUUCCGCAAUGGGCGAAAGCCUGACGGAGCAAUACCGCGUGAGGGACGAAGGCCUGUGGGUUGUAAACCUCUUUUGUUAGGGAAGAUAAUGACGGUACCUAACGAAUAAGCAUCGGCUAACUCCGUGCCAGCAGCCGCGGUAAGACGGAGGAUGCAAGCGUUAUCCGGAAUUAUUGGGCGUAAAGCGUACGUAGGCUGUUUCAUAAGUCUGUUGUCAAAGCCCGAGGCUCAACCUUGGAUCGGCAAUGGAAACUGUGAGACUAGAGAGAGAUAGGGGCAGGAGGAAUUCCAGGUGUAGCGGUGAAAUGCGUAGAUAUCUGGAAGAACACCAGUGGCGAAAGCGUCCUGCUGGAUCUCAACUGACGCUGAAGUACGAAAGCUAGGGGAGCGAAUGGGAUUAGAUACCCCAGUAGUCCUAGCCGUAAACGAUGGGUACUAGGUGUUGGUCGUAUCGACCCGAUCAGUGCCGUAGCUAACGCGUUAAGUACCCCGCCUGGGGAG
rnacentral:rRNA from 1 species